AUGUGGACCUUAUCCACAUCGCCGUUCCUCUUUAGCAGUAAUGCUUCUCCUUCCUUCUCUAUCGAUCCAUCAACGGCUCUGCUCUCCUUCCCCUCUCUCUUCGUGCUGCAUCCACACACACACACACGGCGCUGCUUUCCCCCCUCUCUCUUCUUCCUCCACAAGGAACCAAGCAUCACUCUCUGCUUGACCGUGGCGCCAGAAUCGAGCACGGAUGCGCGCGGCUGUCUCGCCCGUGACCGGGGCUGCUUCGCGUUCGUCGGUAGGUUGCGGCACUGUUGCUGCCCGUAUGGGCUCCCAGUGGCCGGGCGUGCACGUGCCGGGGCUGGCUGGGCUCCCAGGAGCCGGGCUCCCCGCCUCCUCCAACAUCGGCUGGAGAGGAGCUCCUCUGUGCUUCCUAGCCGCCUCCUCCAGCAGGCCAGCCAGAGCAACCGCCCCUCUCUUUCAGAUUUUCUCUUUUCUUCUGUAAUCUGCCUUCUUCUUCUUCUUCUUCUUCUUCUUCUUCUUCUUCUUCUCUAA
rnacentral:rRNA from 1 species